rnacentral:rRNA from 1 species
UUGCAGGCUGCAACUCGCCUGCAUGAAGUCGGAAUUGCUAGUAAUCGCGGAUCAGCAUGCCGCGGUGAAUACGUUCCCGGGCCUUGUACACACCGCCCGUCACACCAUGGGAGUCGGUAACACCCGAAGCCGAUAGUCUAACGAAAGAGGACGUCGUCGAAGGUGGGAUUGAUGACUGGGGUGAAGUCGUAACAAGGUAUC